GAGGAGCCUGAAGCGCAACAUGGCGCCGCCCGUAGUACUGCGCUCGUUUUCGCGGCUGCUGGCCCCCGCCAGGCUGCCGAGCUGCUCUUCAACACGGUCAAAGUUCUAUGUCCGGGAGCCAGUCAAUGCCAAACCUAACUGGGUGAAAGUUGGGCUGACCUUGGGCACCUCGAUUUUCAUGUGGAUUUAUCUCAUCCACCAACACAACGAAGAUGUUUUGGAGUAUAAAAGAAGAAAUGGACUGGAAUAAACUUUGGAGAUACUACAGUCUGCUUCCUGUGAUGAUCUUUGUCAUUCCUCUGAUCUAUCCAGAGUUGUGGAUAUGAGAAAAAAUUUACAUGUGAAUAUGUCCUAGUCAAGUCAACGUGUAUAUUUUGCAUUGUUAAAGAAAUAAAAAAGGGGUUGGGGAUUUAGCUCAGUGGUAGAGCGCUUGCCUAGCAAGCGCAAGGCCCUGGGUUUGGUCCCCAGCUCCGAAAAAAAGGAAAAAAAAGAAAAAAAAAGAAAGAAAUAAAAAUACUUGUGCUCUUC
rnacentral:lncRNA from 1 species